rnacentral:rRNA from 1 species
CUACGGGCGGCUGCAGUGAGGAAUAUUGCACAAUGGGGGGAACCCUGAUGCAGCAACGCCGCGUGGAGGAUGACGCAUUUCGGUGUGUAAACUCCUUUUAUAUGUCAAGAAAAUGACGGUAGCAUAUGAAUAAGCACCGGCUAACUCCGUGCCAGCAGCCGUGGUAAUACGGAGGGUGCAAGCGUUACUCGGAAUCACUGGGCGUAAAGGACGCGUAGGCGGGUUGGAAAGUCAGGUGUGAAAUCCUACAGCUUAACUGUAGAACUGCACUUGAAACUUCUAAUCUAGAGUAUGGGAGGGGGAGAUGGAAUUAGUGGUGUAGGGGUAAAAUCCGUAGAUAUCACUAGGAAUACCUAAAGCGAAGGCGAUCUCCUGGAACAUUGCUGACGCUAAGGCGUGAAAGCGUGGGGAGCAAACAGGAUUAGAUACCCUGGUAGUC